GACGAACGCUGGCGGCGUGCCUAAUACAUGCCAGUCGAACGCUUCUUUCCUCCCGAGUGCUUGCACUCAAUUGGAAAGAGGAGUGGCGGACGGGUGAGUAACACGUGGGUAACCUACCCAUCAGAGGGGGAUAACACUUGGAAACAGGUGCUAAUACCGCAUAACAGUUUAUGCCGCAUGGCAUAAGAGUGAAAGGCGCUUUCGGGUGUCGCUGAUGGAUGGACCCGCGGUGCAUUAGCUAGUUGGUGAGGUAACGGCUCACCAAGGCCACGAUGCAUAGCCGACCUGAGAGGGUGAUCGGCCACACUGGGACUGAGACACGGCCCAGACUCCUACGGGAGGCAGCAGUGGGGAAUCUUCGGCAAUGGACGAAAGUCUGACCGAGCAACGCCGCGUGAGUGAAGAAGGUUUUCGGAUCGUAAAACUCUGUUGUUAGAGAAGAACAAGGACGUUAGUAACUGAACGUCCCCUGACGGUAUCUAACCAGAAAGCCACGGCUAACUACGUG
rnacentral:rRNA from 1 species